rnacentral:rRNA from 1 species
GUCCAUGCCGUAAACGAUGUCUACUAGCCGUUGGGGCCUUUGAGGCUUUAGUGGCGCAGCUAACGCGAUAAGUAGACCGCCUGGGGAGUACGGUCGCAAGACUAAAACUCAAAUGAAUUGACGGGGGCCCGCACAAGCGGUGGAGCAUGUGGUUUAAUUCGACGCAACGCGAAGAACCUUACCAGGGCUUGACAUAUACAGGAAUAUGCUAGAGAUAGUAUAGCUCUUCGGAGUCUGUAUACAGGUGGUGCAUGGUUGUCGU